CCUUUUUAGACCACAGCUGUCACAUGUUUCUGACUCAACUUGCUUCUGCCAUGCCAGCGUCACCCCUGGUCUCAGGUGAUUUCUUAGGCUAAUUCUCAGAGAUGGGGUUAUUGGGCCAAAAAAGCAAACUAUGGCUUUCCGAAGCUCUCAUUGUUCCCAUUAUGUCAUGCAUCCCUGAGAUGCAGUCAGCAGAGGAUUCUAUUUGAGGGACUAAACACUCCCGGGGAAAGCAGGAAGAAGGAGACGGGAACUAACAUUUGCUAUUGAGCGCCAGGCAUCGUCCUACAGGCUUCGAAGUGAACCUUGGAUGUGCUGCUGAUCUGACCUGCCCAGAUUUGUCAUCAUUGUUAUUGUCUUGGCCUCUUAUGAAGACGUUCACCCAGCAGGACUUCAGAAGCUUUGUUCACUCGAUCUCAUUUAAUCCUCACAAUAGUGCCCUAAGGAAGAUAUUAGUAUCCCCAUUUUACAAAGGAGGAAACGGGAACCUGGGGAGAUUAAGCGAAGGCCUCACAGAUCAUGAAUAGAAGAGGCUGGAAACCUAGUCUGGUUCAAGGGUGUGCUCUUUCUGCUCUGCCAUGCUGUGCUUCAGCC
rnacentral:lncRNA from 1 species